CUUACAAAAUUAAUAUAAAGGUCAUUCAAGACGAGAGCUAAUUAUCAUUAGUUGGUUAGUGUCCCUUGGAGAAGCAAUUUCUCUCCCAACUUCUUCUCUUCGCCGACUGACAAUUCAGGGUUCAGUCAAUUUCCUUUCCUUCCUUCGCCGCGGCAUCUUAUCUUCUCGGUGGCCGUCCCUCAUCAUCUCAAUUGGCUCUCUUAGGGGAGUCUAAGCUGGGUUGGAUCGUGAUGGGACGAUCACAUCUCUCAAGGCCGUCUGUCUUCACCCGCACGCCGAGACCCUACCCUACUCUCCACGGGAGCGCUGAAAUGAAAUCCAUCGAUCGCUUCUCAAUCCGACAUCGUCUUCUCCAUCCAUGGCCGUCGUUCAUUUCCGGUUCUCCGUAGGGCAAGCGAAUUGGUUUAAGUUUCCAAUUAUUUUUGUCAAUUGCGUCAGUUCUUGAAGCAUUCGGUUCGAUUUUGAUGAUUGGGUAUAUGUUGCAUGAACUAAUUGAACGCCAUUCUUGAACAGGUUCAUUUAUGGUUCUUCUUGUUGAAAGGGGGGAGACGAGACCGGGAACCUAAUUUGCUUACUUCAUGCCACUGAAUAAAUCGAACGGCAUUCUUGUUUAGGGUUCAUUAUGGUUCUUCUUGUUGAAAGAGGGGAGACCAGGAACUCUAAUUUGAUUUCCAUGCCGCUUUGCCAGGAAUAGACAUAAAGCCAUUCAUGUUCAGUGUUCAUUUAUGGUUCUUCUUGUUGAGACGGGGAGACCUGGAACCCUAGUUUUUUAUUAUUCCAUGCCGCUGAAUAAAUCGAACCCCACACUUGUUCGGGGUUCAUUUAUGGUUCUUCUUGAAAGAUAUCGCUCGUUGCAUUGCCCUUCUUAUGAGGUUCAAUUCGACUUUUGGAAACAAUGUUCCAUCGUCUUCUUCUGGAAGAAUUGACGUCUGGAGAUGAGGUUCCAUCAUUUUCUUCUGGAAGCGAUGUAUUAAGCUUUGGCAGCAACUUUUUUGAGGUUCCAAUUUUGUUUACCUGAUUGCUUGCUUCAUGACUACUAAAAGAUUACUGGCUAUUUUCAUACGAUUGAUAUCUACGACUUUGGAGAUCAAUCAUGGCUCUGAAAGUGCAGCCUGCUUUGGGAAGAUCUUUGGCAUUUCUAAGGAAGCACUAACACUUGGAUUCCUUAUGAAUACUAAAAGGUCCUCGGGAAAAGCCUGCGCCCGGACAUGCACAGGCGGCAGGAAUUUACAAUCAAAAUUGGAGAACUUCAAGAAAGAAGGAUUGUUCGAUUAAGUACAAGGGAAGUGUGGUGAGUGAUGAAACUGAAGCAAUGGAGACCACCAAGGGACACACUUGUCUCUGCAACCUAUUGUGGGAUGAAUCCCAAAGGGAUAGUUGGCUGCAACCCUGAAGAAAAAGUACUACAAGUGCCUGGAAUUAGGACCGAUUGGGAACCUGCUGAUCUGUUUGGGCUUGUCGACAGUUGAUGAGCAGAGAGAUUGAUCAAGUCUUUUAACUUCGAAAGUGUGUUUAUUUAUGUUUCUCUUCUCCUAUACAUAUAUACUAUUUUUUUUUAGAUGUUCAGUGAAAUGGAGCAUGCUUGUGGGGUUGAAGAGGAGUGCAUUAAAAAUUAGGAUGAUUUGCAACCAAAAGUAGGGCAUAGGACUUAGAUGUGUAUUGUUUAUAGUUUUGGAUAUAGUGUAUAGUGUAUAGAAUUCAGUAAUUUAAGGGCAUACGGCAUAGGAUAUAUAGUUGAGGUUAUGAUUUAAGAAAUAGGGCAUAGGUGUAUGUAGUUCAGGUUGUUCAGUGCAUAAUAUUGUUGUCCACUACCUGCAUGGGCUGGAGUUCAUAUAAAACUAGGAUGAUUUGGCAACCAAAAGUAGGGCAUAGGAAUUAGAAGUGUAGUGUUUAUAGUUUUGGAUAUAGUGUAUAGUGUAUAAAAUUUAGUGAUUUAGGGCAUAGGAUAUAAAGUUGAGGUUAUGAUUUAAGAAAUAGGGCAUUGGUGUAUAUAGUUUAGGGUUGGUCAGUGCAUAGUAAUGUUGUCCACUACCUGCAUGGGCUGGAGUUCAUAAAAAUCAGGAUGAUUUGGCAAAUAAAAGUAGGGCAUAGGAAUUACAAAUAUAGUGUAGUUUUGGAUAGUGUAUAGUGUAUAGAAUUUAGUGAUUUAGGGGCAUAGGGCAUAGGAUAUAUAGUUUAGGUUACGAUUUAAGAAAUAGGGCAUAGGUGUAUGUAGUUUUUAGAUUGGUCAGUGCAUAAUAUUGUUGUCCACUACAUAUACAGAGCUCUGCUAUAUGUUGAUAUUACCUGGACGUGUUGGUUAUUAUUAUUUGAUUUUUCCCUUUUAUAUUUCCAGUUCUGCCCCGUUUGAUCAGGUGUAAAGCUAACUCUCUCUUUUGCCCAAGGUACAAUUUCUUGGGAUGCUGGGUCUGAGUCUGGGUUGGGUCUUGGUCUGGGGUAUGCCUGGGCCUGGGUUUGUUUGGGUCUGAUUCUGGUCUAGAUUUGGGUCUUAGUUUGGUCCUGGUCUAAGCUGGUGUGGGUCCGGUGUAUGCUAGGCUUGGUGGUUCUGUAGUGGUGUAUUGUUGUUAUAUAUUAAUAUUUCUUUUAUAUCUUUUUAUUUUCAUUGUUUUAUAUAAUUGUAAUCUAGCUUGUUUGAUUGCAGAAAUUUACAGGCUUACAGCUAACAUAAAACCUUGUACAUUGCUACUGUUUGAUAUUGGAAGGAACUGAGGAAGCCAAGCACGACUACAUAAGAUAGAGUGGAAAAAGAAGGGAGGAAAGUUGGAUGCAGCUUCUUGUCAUUGAAAUGAAGCUUCAGGAUGUUCAUGCUAGGUGUCCUUGCCAUAUCUGAAAGCUGGUGAACAUCAUUAGAAAAUCUGAUUGCACCUCACAACGAUUGGAGACCACACUUAAUUUGUUCUAAAUCAUGAAAGCCUUCGGGAGGUGAAUAAUUGUGGACAGUCAAUCAUGCAAAUUAAGUGCUACUCUCAACUUAAAGAAGCAUGAGAGUGCAACCGAAUGCAGAUAAGCCUGUAAGCCUACAUAUUUGUAUGAGCAAUGUACUUAUUAUCUAUUGAGGCAGGCAUGCAUGCCCAAAAGCUUGAAGAUCUAGUGAGCCCCAAAACCUACAUAUUUGUUUUGACUACAUGCAUUAGUUUUUAGGGGUAGGUUUGCCAUAAAAAACUGCACAUGUGUUUUGUAUAAUUAUUAAUUUUUAGAAGCAAGCUUGCAUAUAUGUUUUGACUAUAUGGUUAUUGGGUUUUGGCAUGCUUAAAAGAUUGUUAUUUGUUUUUAUAUGUUUAAUGUUGCAAACGUGCAUGAAAGCUCACAUACAUGUUUUGACUUUAUGCUUAAUGGCUUAAUAUAAAUGCAUUAAAGCUCCUUUUUUUGUGACUAUUAAUUUGUUGAAGAUUGACGUGCUUGAAAGACUGUAUUUGAUUGGACUAUGUGCUUGUGAUCUUGAAAAAAACAUAUUGUAUGUCGAUUUUGAUUUUGAUUUUGAUUUUGAUUUUGAUUUUGAUUUUUAUUAUUAUAGAAAUGGGUGUACCCAAUAUCUCAUAUGAUUGUUGAGUUUGCCUACAUGGCCAUUUGAACUGUUUACUUAGUGGUCUGGUAGUCAUAUUUGUGUGCUUAUUUUAUGUUAGGGCUAGCUAGCUAUCUUUGAAACUUAGGAAAACAUAUUCCAAAAACUCGCUAAGCUUGAGAGUUGAGACUGAAUUAGCUAAGAUUAUUAAUCCAACAAACUCUCUUAAUCUUGAUCUAACUCAAAUUAGUUUUAUUUCUAUUGUCACAUAUCAAUGAAUGGCCUUAUAAACAAAGAUCUCAAUUAGUAGCCAUAUUAUAUGAAUUGAGACCAAAGUCUUCAACUCCAAAAAAUCCAUAAGUUCAACAUGGAAUAGCUUCUUGUUAGGAACCAAAAGAAAUAGUGAAUGCAUGGGGAAUAGCUUCAAUCCUAUGAUUCUGGCAAAAGGAAUAUUCAGGUUUUUUCCAUCAAAUAAUUCUUAUCAUUCCUUCGAAUCGAUUUUUUCAUUUCUUUCAAAGUAACGUUCAGAUUAAUGUGAUUAGAUUCUAGUCUUAAUUCAUAAAUCGGUGUAAAUUAUUACGACUUCAACUAAAUCGUUGGUGGGGAAUCAUUUUUGUGACUCAUGCAAUUAAGGAGUUUUUCAUGUUAAUCGUAUAGAGGAAUUUUAGGAUCAAUUAA